GAAAUGCGAUAAGUAAUGUGAAUUGCAGAGUUUUGUGAAUCAUCGAAUCUUUGAACGCACAUUGCGCCUAUUAGUAUUCUAGUAGGCAUGCCUGUUCGAGCGUCAUUUCAACCCUCAAGCCCUGGUUGCUUGGUGUUGGGAGCUUGCUGUGAAACGCAACUCCUCAAAGCUAGCUGGCAGAGUCGGGAUGCACUCUAAGCGUAGUAAACUUGAUAGACUCGCUUCUGCAGUUGUCCCGGCCGUCUUGCCAUAAAAGCCCAAACUUUUUUGUUUUCUAUGGUUGACCUCGGAUCAGGUAUGAAUACCCGCUGAACUUAAGC
rnacentral:misc_RNA from 1 species